rnacentral:tRNA from 1 species
AACUAUAUCUCGGGAAAGCAAUGUUUUGAAAACAUAGUAGAAGUGUUCAAAUCGCUUAGUAGUUU